ACAUUAACUAUUUUUUUAAUCAAACCAUUUCUGCAUUUAAUUAUCUUCAACAACCAAAAAAAUGCAUUAAUUGUCCUCCUCAAAACCCUACUAUAAAUACCAAUGACAACACACGACGGCGCCGCACCGGCCUUUACAGCGCCCCUCUCUGCAAAUUCUCUCUUUGCAGCCCUUUACAGCCCCCCUCUCUCCACCUCCGAUCCAUUUUUUUUUACUGCCAUAUCUACAAAGCAUAAGCAACAAUUUCUCUCUUCGCAGCCCACACUCUUUCUACUCUAUUGGGUUUUUUUUACCAUUCUACAAAUCUGAAAAAACAACUUUUUCACAGAAGAAUACAAUUAAUACAGAUAUCCAUUUGAAGAAGCGGUUGUUGCAGAUCUAAAGAUUCAGAUCGGCGAAUAUAUUAGAUCUACAUAACUACAUUGAAUCACAUCUUACAUUCACAAAAAAAGUUAAGUUUCCAAAAAAUGUUAAUCAUCUAAAUCUACAUUUAUGUAACUAAAAAACAUUUCAAUCCUCUAUAUCGCAGAUUUUCGAAGAAGUAGUGUUCAUCAUUUACAUCUACAACUACCUAAUAUAAGCAGCUUACCUUGAGACCCACAAAACCAUCAUCAAAGUUCUUCAAAUAGUGUUCUUAUUACAUGUAAAUAUCAAGAUCAAAUCUUCAAUGCAGAUUUUAUGGGGUUGCCUAGCUAAACUUGUGUGUACAAUUUCAAUUUGACCAUGCUUUUUUUCUAUCAU